AAUGAACGUUGGCGGCGUGGAUUAGGCAUGCAAGUCGCGCGAGAACCCGCAAGGGGGACAGCGGCGAAAGGGACAGUAAUGUGUAGAUUAUCUGCCCUCAGGUCCGGGAUAGCUGCGGGAAACUGCAGGUAAUACCGGAUAACAUCUCCGGAUCAAAGGUGUGAUUCCGCCUGAGGAUGAGUCUACAUCCUAUUAGCUAGUUGGUAGGGUAAUGGCCUACCAAGGCUGUGAUGGGUAGCGGGUGUGAGAGCCCGACCCGCGUCAUUGGGACUGAGACACUGCCCAGACACCGACGGGUGGCUGCAGUCGAGAAUCUUCGGCAAUGGGCGCGAGCCUGACCGGGCGACGCCGCGUGUGGGAUGAAGGCCUUCGGGUUGUAAACCACUGUCAGAGGGGAUGAAAUGCGGGUGGGUUCUCCCAUUCGUUUGACAUAGCCUCAGAGGAAGGACGGGCUAAGUUCGUGCCAGCAGACGCCGUAAGAC
rnacentral:rRNA from 1 species